rnacentral:misc_RNA from 1 species
GGAAGGAUCAUUAACAAAUGUCCCAACCACCCCACGUCUGUGAACUGUUACCCCAAAAGCUUUGGGUGUGCACCGUGCCAGACCCCCCAGUCAGCAAUGCCUGGGAGGCUCUAGCCGGACCACCUGUAUAUUUACGUUGAAAUACCCUUCACUGAGACUUUAUACUAAAAAUAAAGACAACUUUUUAGCAACGGAUCUCUAGGCUCUCGCAACGAUGAAGAACGCAGCGAAAUGCGAUAAGUAAUGUGAAUUGCAGACCCCGUGAAUCAUCAAAUCUUUGAACGCACAUUGCACUGUCUGGAACUCCGGACAGUAUGCCUGUUUGAGCAUCAGUCCCAUCUUUCAUCCUCCUUGGCCCUCAAGCCUUUGGGGUGUGGAGACUUGAGCAUUGCUGGGCUAACAGCUUGCUUGGAAGGUAUCUGGCACGCGAAGGCGUUCUGUAGAACCAACGUCCUUGGACUAACUCUACUCCACCCCGAGCGAUGCCAUUCUCUGAGGCAAAGCGUUCAGUUUGAACAAAAAAAUUCAAACUGAGAGCCUCUCUGGUUUCCUGGUCUGAAUCAAAAGUUCACCCCUACUCCAGAGACCUCUGGGAUUUCAGCUGAAUUUUUUCAGUUGAUCACCCCAACUUGGUCGCUCGUCGACCAGAUUAUUGAUCUCAAAUCAGGCAAGAUUACCCGCUGAACUUAAGCAUAUUAAUAAGCGGAGGAAAAGAAACUAACAAGGAUUCCCCCAGUAACGGCGAGUGAAGCGGGAUCAGCUCAAAUUUCUAAUCUCCUAGGAGAAUUGUAGUUUAAAGAAGUGUCUUCGACGGCAUCCUAGGUAAAAGUCUCUUGGAAAAGGGCGUCAUAGAGGGUGAGAACCCCGUACAUGAUCUAGGAAAUGCUGCUCUGUGAAACACCUUCAAAGAGUCGGAUUGUUUGGGAAUGCAGUCCAAAGUGGGUGGUAUAUUCCAUCUAAGGCUAAAUAUUGGCGAGAGACCGAUAGCGAACAAGUACCGUGAGGGAAAGAUGAAAAGCACUUUGAAAAGAGAGUCAAAUAGUACGUGAAAUUGCUAAAAGGGAAACGAUUGAAGUCAGUGUUAUGCCUGGGAAAUCAACCGUCAGUAUCUGAUGGUGCACUUUCACAGGCGUAAGUCAACAUCAGUUUGAGGACGUGGAAAAAAUCCUGGGAAGGUAGCUGGCCUUCGGGCCAGUGUUAUAGCCUGGGAUCAUGCACGGACUUGGACUGAGGACUGCAGUGCGCACUUGGGACUUGUUGCAUUCUCUUGGGGUCUCUGGGUAUUCUGCGUGCAGAAUGCUUGGUUACUCCUAGUCUAUGUGGCUGUGUUCACACCAGCGCUUAGGAUGUUGACGAAAUGGCUUUAAACGACCCGUCUUGAAACACGGACCAAGGAGUCUAACAUAUAUGCAAGUGUUUGGGUGUUAAACUCAUUCGCGAAAUGAAAGUGAACGUAGGUGGGAUCCCUCGGGAGCACCAUCGACCGAUCUUGAUAUUUAUUGAUAGAUUUGAGUGUGAGCAUAUCUGUUGGGACCCGAAAGAUGGUGAACUAUGCCUGAAUAGGGUGAAGCCAGAGGAAACUCUGGUGGAGGCUCGUAGCGAUUCUGACGUGCAAAUCGAUCGUCAAAUUUGGGUAUAGGGGCGGAAAGACUAAUCGAACCAUCUAGUAGCUGGUUCCCUC